rnacentral:tRNA from 1 species
GAGGGUAGAGCUCAGUGGUAGAGUACAUGCUUAGCAUGCAUGAGGUCCUGGGUUCAAUCCCUAGUACUUCCA